UUAUUUAUUAAAACAGGUUGGUUCCACAGAUUACAUAUAUACAUAAUCAGCAAGGGACAGCACACAUGCACUUUCCAAGGGAGCAAAAUCCGUCGCACACUGCAAUACAAUCUUCGUCCGAACUACACACUCCCUUCAACGUUGGCCUCGGCCUGAAGCAAACCCUUCCUUCCGUCUCCGCCACCAUCCAACCUGUAACAACCAACAAAAUACACCUUCCAUUAUUACUCUAUUUAUUUUCAUUAUUUUUGUAAAAAUACAUACAAAAUUUAGACAACCAGCAGCCAGGAUUAUCUCUCGUUACCAGAAGCAACAGAUAACAGGAUGACCAACACAACCUCAUAAACCAUGAACAAGCAGGAGGAUCAAAUUACAGAAGCAAGGGUCAAGAAGAUGAACACAACUAGUGAAGCUUACUUUUUGUUAUGGGAGAAGAAGCAUUCAAAUCCGUGUUGGUCAUUCUUGAUUUAAGAGGAAAUCUAUCUUUCUAUACUAUUUUAUCUAUUUCUAGUUUUGGCAGUACACACUGAUUGAUGGAAUAUUGACAUGAAACUUAAUUUCUUUUUUAAGUUGAGAGAAAAUGAUGAAAAGGGGGAUGGAAGAGGAAGCUACGUGUGUAAAUUAAACAUGUGCAUGCUACCAUAGUUUAACAGCGGCGAUCAACAACUUAUUUAUUCAUUUCGAAGAUAACAACUUCAGUCAAUUUUAUACCAGAUUAAAAUUGUAUAACACGACCAUGACAAAGUCAACAAAUGACGGUACAAAUGCAUAAACCGUUCGAGCAAACUCCAUUAUACCACAUGUCGAUAUCGCAAGCUUUAACACAUUCAUCAUUUGAAGUACACUUUCCCUUGAACGACGGGCUCUGCUUGAAGCAAAUCUUUCCUUCCGUCUCCUCCAUCAUCCAUCCUAUUGAGUACCAGAAGCAAUGGAUAGAAAGACAAAUGCCACAAAUGUGAGUUUUUUCCAUCGUCCUGCCAUGUCUUUUUCUUCUUAAUCUUUCAGUUUCUUGUACUUUAAUUCCAAUGCCCUGCUUAGGAGUCAAUACCCCUUUUAUAUAUUGUGACUACCUCAUUUCCUUUCAUUUUAAUGUUUUCU